rnacentral:rRNA from 1 species
AGUGAACGCUGGCGGCAGGCCUAACACAUGCAAGUCGAGCGGCAGUGGGUUCCCGCGAGGGGAUGCCGGCGAGCGGCGGACGGGUGAGGAACACAUCGGAAUCUGCCUGGUUGUGGGGGAUAACGUAGGGAAACUUACGCUAAUACCGCAUGCGACCCUGAGUCGACGGACUGGGGGUGAAAGUGAGGGACCUUCGGGCCUCACGCGUACCAGAUGAGCCGAUGUCGGAUUAGCUAGUUGGCGGGGUAACGG